rnacentral:rRNA from 1 species
UACGAGGGGGGCGAGCGUUGUUCGGAAUUAUUGGGCGUAAAGGGUGCGUAGGCGGUUUGGUAAGUCUGGUGUUAAAGCUAGGGGCUCAACCCCUGUGGUGCACUGGAAACUGGGCAGCUUGAGUGCGGUAGGGGAAGGUGGAGUUCGAGUGUAGCGGUGAAAUGCGUAGAUAUUCGGAAGAACACCGGUGGCGAAGGCGACCUUCUGGGCCGCAACUGACGCUGAGGCACGAAAGCCUGGGGAGCGAACGGG